rnacentral:rRNA from 1 species
ACAUGCAAGUCGAGCGGAUGAGGGGUGCUUGCACUCUGAUUCAGCGGCGGACGGGUGAGUAAUGCCUAGGAAUCUGCCUGGUAGUGGGGGACAACGUUUCGAAAGGAACGCUAAUACCGCAUACGUCCUACGGGAGAAAGUGGGGGCUCUUCGGACCUCACGCUAUCAGAUGAGCCUAGGUCGGAUUAGCUAGUUGGUGGGGUAAAGGCCCACCAAGGCGACGAUCCGUAACUGGUCUGAGAGGAUGAUCAGUCACACUGGAACUGAGACACGGUCCAGACUCCUACGGGAGGCAGCAGUGGGGAAUAUUGGACAAUGGGCGAAAGCCUGAUCCAGCCAUGCCGCGUGUGUGAAGAAGGUCUUCGGAUUGUAAAGCACUUUAAGUUGGGAGGA